rnacentral:lncRNA from 1 species
AUGACCACAGCCUAACAUGGGGCUCUGCAGUGAUGCUCCAUUUGCUGUGAAUGAGGAACACCCACACUGCAGCAGUGGGAGCCACUCACCCUCCCCAGACGCAGAGAAUAAAAUCCAGGGCAAAAUCCAUCCACCCAUCCUGUGUGAGGAGGUUCCCCCGAGCAGGUCAGUCACUGUUUGUUUCUGCAGGGGGAGUGUCAAGUGUGACUCUGUUACAGCACUGUUCUUUUUUUCUUUAGGAACUAAAGCUGGAUAUCAGCAGUCAAGGUGAGCAUUGAGUAGCGUACAGAAGCAGUUGUUAAUGCUCAAGUCUCACUUUCUGGUGCAACUCUAAGCAUCUGUUUCUGUGCUUUAGGCAACCCACUUGGAGCACGCCAAGUCCCAGUCACCAACUGGCUGACGCACCGGGUUUGCCGCUCUCCCGAGCCCUGCAGAAGGAUCACGGGACUCGGCAUUGAAGCCUCUCCCUUUUCUAUUUAAAGGUGUCACUAGGGUGGCCAUCAGCAACAGCCGAGGAGUUGCAGUGAGUCGGGAAAGUAGGGAGGAGGAGCGAGGGUCUGCUCAGGUUUCAGCAAUGGCACAUCACCUCCUCUCCUCUUAUCCCAGUCGUACCCCAUGACAACGGCGUCAGCCUUGUAGCACAGCCAAAGCAUGUGGCUCCAGGAGCCGGGCAUUCUUAGGAGAACAGUGAGUAGCAGAAUUGUUGGGUUUUGGCCAGUGUGAUGCAGAGGUCAUGCAUUGAUAUUUGGUUUUCUUUACUGUAGCUGACUAAGAAACAACAGGAAGUUGUUGAACAACAGUGCCAGCAGGAACUUCCCAGAUGUCAAGGCAGCCUUCCUUUGCACCUGGCAUGGACCAGCAUCCCCAGAUGUCUGAGAGAUAAGCAGAGGGCUAUGAUCCUCAGAGGGGAUGAAAUUGGGGCGCACGGUAGGGACCCACCGGGAGGGGUUUUUGAGUCCCCUUUGGAGGUGGGGGUGUCCAUGAUGCAGCCCCUUAGGCCCCAUAAAAGGAAAGUCUCACUUUUGAUCACAGUGCUGAGGUGUGCAGGGAAGAGCAGUCCCGGUGUGUAUCGUGUCAUUUAUCUAUUGUGCGUUCUGUGUGUUUGGGUAUGUCAUGUCCUUUACCUUAGCCCUUUGAGGGGCCUAUCAGAAACCCUGGCAUCAUUCUUAGCAUCUGUGAUCUCUGCAUUCCUUGGCCUGGCACCCAGGCCAUAGAACUUUUGACUCAGGAGCUCAGACAGGCAUCAGACUCUCUUCUCUCUUUGGAAGCAUCCAGUCAGAUGUCUUUCCAGGUCUUGUUCUGAGCUGUAUAGACAGUUAUGCCCUGCCAGGAUCCAUUAUGGUGGACUAGGACUUGAAAGAAUGUGAGGACAGGUAGAGGUUUCUGAACAUAGGCUUCUCGGGUAUCCAUCUUUGCAGUUCUUGGAAUAAAUCAUUCAGUUAGGAUCUUCUUCCUUCA